rnacentral:lncRNA from 1 species
GCCCUCUAAGUGCGCUCAGCUGGGAGGCAGCGGGCUGCACCGACUCACCCGCUCGCUUGCAAAGGCCGGGCGGGCCUGCGCCCGGCCCCCUGCGCCCGGCAUAAAAGGAGCAAGCGGGGUUUGGGCUCUGGCGCUCCUUCCUGCAGCUCACCUUCGUUUGCACCUGUUGCUUCGGAUCGCCAGCUUCAGUCGGACUCGAGAUGGACCCCAACUGCUCCUGCGCCACUGGUAAGGGUCCCUGACUUGAUUCUGAACUACAGAAUAAAGUGUCCCUAGGUUUUAGGAAGUCACUUUUGGGGGGGAAGAGGGGGGUACCGGGGAUUAAACCCAAGGGCACUCAACCACUGAGCCACAUCCCCAGCCCUGUUGUGUAUUAUAUUUAGAAACAGGGUCUCACUGAGUAGCUUAGCGUCUCGCUGUUGCUGAGGCUGGCUUUGAACUCGAGAUCCUCCUGCCUCAGCCUCCUGAGCCGCUGGGAUUACAGGGCGCCACCGCGCCUGGCAGGGUCACAUUUUGAGUUCUGAGCUAAAUGGAUUCUUCAUUUGCUCUCUAUGUUCCUUUUUCACUGAGCUCCUGACAAUACUUCUAUCUUCCCCGUGUCUGCACGUGGGGAGGAGUUCAGGGCACUGAGACUCAAUGCUGUCCUCCUGAUGUCACUCAACUGGGUGGCUACUGGCUCCAGGCCUUGGAGUAGUUAGGGUGAUUGAAGGCAGAGGAGGUUGCUUCUUUGGAACUCGGGAGAUAAUAAGAUCUUGGCCUCCAGUCCUAGUUAUCCUGGGCUGGAGUCUGGGACCUUCUUUGUGAAGUAAAAGCAGGAGGUAGCACUUCCUCUUCCUGGAAGGGAAGAGAAGAAAGACCCUGCUUCUCUGCCUCCCGCUUGAGCUGGAAAGGAGCUCUUGGGACUGGCCCUGCUUGAGAAGCAUCUCUGGAGGUUAAUGGCAAGCACUGUUAUGGCUGCAUCUCCUGGCUCACUGCCUCUUUCCUUCCAGGUGACUCCUGCACCUGUGCCGGCUCCUGCAAAUGCAAAGAGUGCAGAUGCACCUCCUGCAAGAAGAGUGAGUGGGGGCCCUUCCUUGGGAAGCUGGGCUGGCUGAGUCAGAGGAGCCACUCAGAGCUCAGCAGGCAGGAGGGGGCCAAUGAGCGUCUUCAUCCCCGUCCCUCAGCACCUGAUUCAGAAACAGAGGGCUAAAAGAGCCAUAGAGAAGGGAGAGUCCCAACCUCUCAUUACAGAACUGUGAUCCCGAGGCCUGGAGAGGUCACCUACUUGUGUCAGGGUCUGAGUCAGAUUCUGAACGUAGGCCUUGCUUCUUGAAACAGCUUUCUCCAUAUACCCAGGUCCUGAUGUACUCGGCCCACAGGAUCUUGGGGUUUCUGACCGGCUGGGUCAGGCUUUUCCUGUAGUCAUCCUAGCGCUUCCCUGGCCCUCGCCAGAGCUGCUUUGUCAGGGGUUUGCCCUGUCUUGAGUGUUCUCAUUUCAUUGUAGAGUUCGGGAGACUUGGCUUUCCUUUACCACCCAGAGACCCAUGCCCUGCCUUUCCAGGCUCUCUGUCGUGUCGUCCUGAACUAAGGGUCCUGUGGGCUGGGGGCUAAGUCUGCUCUGACCUCUCAUUCUCCCCUUUGCUCCCCAGGCUGCUGCUCCUGCUGCCCCGUGGGCUGUGCCAAGUGUGCCCAGGGAUGCGUCUGCAAAGGGGCAGUGGACAAGUGCAGCUGCUGCGCCUGAGGUGGGGAGAGUCUUGUGACCACGUGUGCAUAGAGUGACCUGUGAAAACCUGGAUUUUUGUUUGUUUUUUACACUUCUCAUCCAUUUACAUAAAAUAUCUCAUUUCAUUUAAAUGCAUAUGGAAUUUGACAAUAAACUAUUUUGACUUCAUCUGCCUCAUGGUGUGGGGGGAUAUGGAAGUUGGUUCUCAUUGGGCUGUAGGGGAUUGCACUUUAAAGGAGGCAGGAGGGAGGAAUAGCAGGGACUGGUCCAAGUGCAUGCACACUAUUUUUUUUCUCCUAGUACCAACAUACAGAAGGAGUCCACUGAGCUACAUGCUCAUCUCCAGCCCUUUUUAUUUUAUUUUAUUUUUUUGAGUCAGGAUCUCACUAAGUCAUCCAGACUGGCCUUACAACCUAUGGUCCUCCUGCCUCAGCCUCCA